AUCCUAGAGUUUCCCAGGUGUUCCAUCAAGAGGUGAUAAAUAGAAUACUUGGAAUUUGACUAUUUUCAGAAGUUAUUUCUACCUUUAUAUUUGCUCUACUCGAGUUUUCUGCUUAUAAUUUCCCAUGCUGAGUAGAAGCUCCUUUGCAUUAGUAAUUACAGUAAAAGUGUAGUUCUAAGGCACUGGGUGUCUAACACAAUUCCUGACCUGUGCUGUGUCUUUGCAAAAGUCAUUGCACCUUUUCAGUGCUUCAGAUACCAUCUCUGUACAGUGAGUGUGAUGACAUUUAACUCCAACUGCAACAAUAUUUGCACAGUGAUGUAAACUUUACCAAGGGCAUUGCCAACCCUUUGCUCACUGGUAGAUCAGUGCCUCUUAAUUUUUUUCCUUCUUGCCAGUCUCCAAUGCUACCACCAAGGCUCUCUUGCUUUUUUUCUUUCCCCUCUCUCUCUACUCUUUUAAUUAAAUCCUAACUCAUCUCUCUGCUUCCAACCCUGCCUCUGCAUUAGUCAGUGCUUCUUAACAGGGGCAGGGCACACUCCUUGGAUUGUGGGAGUGGAAAAUUGAUUGGAUAUUGGUCACCACCAUAAUUGGAGAGGUACUGCUGCCGUUUAGUGUACAGAGGCCGCAGAGGUUAGAGACGCAGCAACGCAUGGCUAUUCAGCCACGGACGUCAAAUGCCUGCCAGACAUUUAGCUACCCUGUCUAGCAGAACCAUGUCCCAUUUGACAGAUGAGUGAACCAAGCCUUAAAUGGGAAGAAGAAGAAGGCGGAGGAGAAGGAGGAGGAAAGAAGAAGAAGAAAGAGGAGGAGGAAGAGGAGAAGGGGAGGAGGAAGAAGAGGAGCAGCUGACAAAGUUCCCAUAGUGGAAUGUGGAAGACCUUGGUUUCAAAUUUAGUCGUCUAACUCCAAAUCAGUGUAUUUUACUGGGCUGUAGCUUAAUAAAUACAAGAAGCUACCCUCUCUCCUUGAGAAAUACUCCCUAGGCUGUGGCUCAUUUUAGAGAGUAAGAAGUGUUUAGAUAGGAUAACAGAGAUAAUUUACAAAGGGCAAAAGGAAGACUAUGAUUCAGGAGCAGACGAAUGAGAAUCAGAACCAUUGUCAAGAAUUAGGCCCAGUGAAAAAAUGGGACAUGUAAAAGAGAGAGAAAGAAAGUCCAAAAUGUCUGAGCAAUGUAACAGGCCUGCCAUUUAUCUCACUUCUGAAUAUCAGAAAAGGCAGCAUUUGUUGUCCACAGAAAAAUACAUGGGAUUUAUAGACACUGCCAGGCUCAAGGACCAGUGACACAACUCCCACCGCAGAGAGCCCUGUGGGGUGCUUUCCAGUGGCCACUGGUGGAGUGGGCAGAGUCCUCGGGGAACCAGAGGCCUGCUAUGCAUCUGGAGAGCUGCUUGCUCAGGAUGUCAUGGCUAAACUCCUUGAUCUCUUGGCAGCGUGUGGCCCCGUGAAAUGUGCUUCUUCUUUUUGAAAAGGCCUCUUUUUUUGGAAGUCAAGUCACCACACCAUUUAGAUUCCCCAUACUUCUGGACAGCAUCUUCCCAAGUGCUUUCCCCAACUUGUGGUCAACCCUGUCUUAUACCUCAUCUCGAUCUCUGUCAAUCAACACUAUUCACCCCUCAAGACACGCUUCGACUGACUGCCCCCGCAACCCUUCCAUGGAGUCCUGUCUUUUGGUCGUCCCAGUGAGAAGGGAUCUCUCUCUUCUGAAUGCCUGUAAUGUUUUGUGUCUCCUAUAGCACAUUGAACACACUGCCUUCUGAUAUAGUUGGGUGUCAACAUAUGGUAUCCUCCCUACAAGGGAUUAGCUUGUUUCUAAGACCUUAGUCUUUUUAUUAGACCAAUUUACUUGAUAGAUGAAAAGACUCAUAGAAGUCAUCUAAAUCAAUGUGCCCAUGUUGUAGAUGAGGAAAUGAGCCCUAGAGAGCUGACAUAGUCUAAACAAAUUCGCACAUUCUCCUCUCGCUAGGCUAGAGGAGAGCUGGAAUUCAUUUGCACCCUGAAAUCAGGGACGUGCUUGCCCAGAAUGAGGACAGAAAAGGUUGAAGGAAUGAAUGAUUCUGACAAAUCCCCUAGACCUGCCAUCCCACUGUCAAAAGUGGUUCUGCCAGAGACACAGACAAUGAGUAGGGGAUCCUCAAGUCAACCUCAUCCCAGAGAUAACCAUCUCACUUAGCAUGCGUCCGGGUGGCACCAUCAGCAGCACACAGUAUCUGUUCCCAUCCAAAGAGCUUUUCACGAGGAGCUCGUUCUGAGCUUCUUGAUAAGCAACUGGGUAGUGGUGCUAUUUUUAAUCAGCUGACCAGGGAUGAAAGUUGUUCAGAGAAUUCUGCUUUCAUACAUUAGAAAAAAAACCCAGAAAAUCAAUCUAGCACUAAUAAAAGAUGAUUGAAAAUUGCUAAUACCAACCAAUUGUGAAACUUUGCCUUACAAAAAAGGAGAGCGCUCAUGAGUUUCCUCGUCUCCUCU
rnacentral:lncRNA from 10 species